rnacentral:rRNA from 1 species
CCAAUAGCGUAUAUUAAAGUUGUUGCAGUUAAAAAGCUCGUAGUUGAAUUUCGGGGUCAGUAGGCUGGUCGUGCCACGGGUAUGUACUGGUCUCACUGAUUCCUCCUUCCUGAUGAACCGUAAUGCCAUUAAUUUGGUGUUGCGGGGAAACUGGACUGUUACUUUGAAAAAAUUAGAGUGUUUAAAGCAGGCUAACGCUUGAAUACAUUAGCAUGGAAUAAUGAAAUAGGACGUUCGAUCCUAUUUUGUUGGUUUCUAGGAUCGACGUAAUGGUUAAUAGGGAUAGUUGGGGGCAUUAGUAUUCAAUUGUCAGAGGUGAAAUUCUUGGAUUUAUUGAAGACUAACUACUGCGAAAGCAUUUGCCAAGGAUGUUUUCAUUAAUCAAGAACGAAAGUUAGGGGAUCGAAGACGAUCAGAUACCGUCGUAGUCUUAACCAUAAACUAUGCCGACUAGGGAUCGGAUGAUGUUAAUUUUUUAAUGACUCAUUCGGCGCCUUACG